GAUGAACGCUAGCUACAGGCUUAACACAUGCAAGUCGCGGGGCAGCAUGGGGGUUGCUUGCAAUCCCCGAUGGCGACCGGCGCACGGGUGAGUAACGCGUAUCCAACCUGCCCUUCACCACGGGAUAACCCGGCGAAAGUCGGACUAAUACCGUAUGUUGUCCAUUGACGGCAUCCGAUUUGGACGAAAGGCUUGGCGGUGAGGGAUGGGGAUGCGUCCGAUUAGCCAGACGGCGGGGUUACGGCCCACCGUGGCUACGAUCGGUAGGGGUUCUGAGAGGAAGGUCCCCCACACUGGAACUGAGACACGGUCCAGACUCCUACGGGAGGCAGCAGUGAGGAAUAUUGGUCAAUGGGCGUAAGCCUGAACCAGCCAAGUAGCGUGCAGGAUGACGGCCCUAUGGGUUGUAAACUGCUUUUAUGCGGGGAUAAAGUGGCCCAGGUGUGGGCUUUUGCAGGUACCGCAUGAAUAAGGACCGGCUAAUUCCGUG
rnacentral:rRNA from 1 species